AGCGUGCACAACUGCCGUGGCGCGCCACAUCAGCAAAUGUGGUAAAAAUGAAACUUAAACUUCUCUCAUCUGGUAUAUAUGUAAGAGUCAUUCUAAGAGUGAUGAUCUGAUGAGCGCCAUUAGUUAUAAUGGUAAAAAUGUAAAAGUCCUCGCCAUGUUGCGAACUGACGAGAAGGAGAAGUGUACGUUCUCAGUCCUGAGUGUCCGUGCCGAAGUGGUGGUGGUGCCUGACACGGGGUCGUCGAUUGUGGAUGAAGAUGGGCAAGCUACGCAGCAGCUGUGUGAGGGGUUAAGGAUCUGUCCGUGACCGCCGGGCAGCAAGAAGCAUCUGCCGGCGGAGGACGUGGUCAAAAGGACAAGUCCUUAUUGCAUCCUAUGGCUAGGGUGUCACAGCACCAGGGUUGCAGAGCUACUGCAUCUGCUGAUGCUACUGCUCGUCUAAGGCUUCGUUCAUUGUGUUAGUAGUUGCCUUUAUGCUGUCCAUUAUGCGAGGGCUUUUCAUGGGGAAAAUGUUCACUUUAAUGUUAAGGAACUUUACGAGAGCAAUUUGUCCAAGGCUAGGUCUGAGAUCCUGUACUGGUUGUUCAUCAUGGCUGGGAAUCAUGGAUACUUACCAGAAGAUCUCUUCCAGGAGCUUGGCAUCCACAUCUAAGCCGUCACAGCAGCACAUCAGGAGAUCAGUGUUCUCCUUUUUGCAUUCUGCUGUAGUUGUCUGUGGUUUGGUCAGCUGUGUUGCUUGCUAAGGCAAAGGUUCUAUUUAGCUACAGUUGAAGGAUGUUUGGUGUGUUCCUUGCUGAUUCAAGGCCUAUUUUGUCUGUCUUUAUCACAGUGUAUGAACUUUCUAGUUUAGGUCUUAUGUUUGGACAUUUGCAAGCUCAGGUUAUGAUAAUCACUAUUUAACCAGCUCCUCAGAUCUUUAAUAUCGAUGUUAUGUAACCGAUAUAUUUUGAGUUUUCAAGUUAUUAUUUCUCUCA